rnacentral:tRNA from 1 species
UAUUUUAAUAGCUUAUUAGAGCAUAAUAUUGAAGAUAUUAAGGAGGUUUAUAUCUUAGAAUAU